UUCCGGUUGAUCCUGCCGGACCCGACUGCUAUUUGGGUGAGGAUAAGCCAUGCGAGUUGAAUGGGAAACCUAAAGUUCCCAUGGCAAACUGCUCAGUAACACAUGAUCAACUUACCCUAUAGAGAAAAAUAACCUCGGGAAACUGAGGAUAAUGUUUCAUAGUUGAAUUGGCUUGGAAAAGUUUUUCGACAAAAGGGGUAAAAAAAAUGGUUUUUAUCUGCUAUAGGAUAGGAUCGUGUUCGAUUAUGGUUGUUGGUGAGGUAAUGGCUCACCAAGCCGAUAAUCGAUAGGGGCCGUGAGAGCGGGAGCCCCGAGAUGGGUACUGAGACAACGACCCAGGCCUUACGAGGCGCAGCAGGCGCGAAACCUCCGCAAUACACGAAAGUGUGACGGGGUUACCCAAAGUGUUCAAUUUUGAACUGUGGUAGGUGAGUAAUGUUCCCUACUAGAAAGGAGAGGGCAAGGCUGGUGCCAGCCGCCGCGGUAAAACCAGCUCUUCAAGUGGUCGGGAUAAUUAUUGGGCUUAAAGUGUCCGUAGCCGGUUUAGUAAGUUCCUGGUAAAAUCGGGUAGCUUAACUAUCUAUAUGCUAGGAAUACUACUAUACUAGAGGGCGGGAGAGGUCUGAGGUACUGCAGGGGUAGGGGUGAAAUCUUAUAAUCCUUGUUGGACCACCAGUGGCGAAGGCGUCAGACUGGAACGCGCCUGACGGUGAGGGACGAAAGCCAGGGGAGCGAACCGGAUUAGAUACCCGGGUAGUCCUGGCCGUAAACGAUGCAUACUAGGUGAUGGCACGGCCAUGAGCCGUGUCAGUGCCGUAGGGAAACCGUUAAGUGUGCCGCCUGGGAAGUACGGUCGCAAGGCUAAAACUUAAAGGAAUUGGCGGGGGAGCACCACAAGGGGUGAAGCCUGCGGUUCAAUUGGAUUCAACGCCGGA
rnacentral:rRNA from 1 species